rnacentral:hammerhead_ribozyme from 1 species
AUCUAGCCGACGAGUCCUAAAUAGGAAGAACGCGUGUCCUGGAU